CAUCAUACGAAUAUUUACGGAUGCACCAGCCACAAACUGAAGUGGAAACAAGGCGUAAGGCCCUGGGAGAGCAAGCGGACAAUCGGUUGUCAGUCAAUGUUCGGCCAUGGCUCAGCUCAGCGCACAAAGGAGAAUCGGAAGUGAACAAAGUAAACAAAGAGCUAAAGUCAAGAGGAAGUGAGACCAAACCAACCUUUUUCAUACAUACAUUCAUGCUGCAGUUGGGCGCACCCCUCACCUCUCCAUCACUGCCUAGUCUUCACAGAUUCAUCAGCUUCACCAGCCUCAUCAGUCUGUAGAUCUUAGCAGAGUCAGCAGCCACCACCAGAGUCUGGACUCUACAGUGUUGGGGGAUUUAUUUUGCUGCAGCUCAGGGCAGACGUGCCUCGAUCACAAACUCUCCUUGUGGAAUCUAAGCGCCAAAGUCUUUCUGUCAAAUUUUAAUCAUCACCUCUAUGUACACCUGUA